CUCUGUUCAACUAGCAUAGGUAAACCUUCAUUUUUCUUUUCCGAGAAGUCGGUUUAGUGACAGGGACUUAACAUGUGCUGAAGAGUUUGUAUGACAUGAACAAUAUUGGGGAAGAUUGAUUUGUUGGUCACGUGCAGGAUGGCUCAUGAUGAAAGACUGAACAGAGAGUAUCCAGAGGCAAUUGCUAUGCCCUAAUCAUGACGUAGGUGGGGCCGGAACUGGGGUGAGGAUGGAAAGAAUGGAUGUGAGAUCCCAGGACAGAAUGACUAAGAUGAUGAUGGUGGACAGGAGCCGGGAGAGAAGAGAGGUAUUUAAAAUGCUCUGGAAUUUCGAGUGUAGGUGCCUAGAGGAAUGGCGGUCUAUUAACAGAAAGAGGGAAGUAAGGAGGAGGAGGUGACCUUGAAGGAAAGCCACGUUGGGUUUGAAGUCAUCCAGGACCUACAGUUGCAAAGUCCCACCGACCUUUGGAAAUAAAAGGCGUUUCCUUUUUGUGUUUGGGCAUGCUAUCGGAAAGGCUGAGGGGCUCGCAUCUUUGAGCCGGAGGGACCAGGGCAGAGCUGAAGAGCGGCAGUCAACGUUUGCCAGUCUCCGACAGCCAGAGUGUGUGUGUGGCUGGGCAAAGGCGGCCUUUGAAGUCUUAAAGGUCAGCGCUUUGCCAGCUGCCUGCUGGAGACAAAAGGCAGCCUGAUUUUCCCCAUUGCUGCUCUUUGUUUCUUACUUGUCUGCCUCAAACAAAUGGCCUGAGGCCAGCUCCCCAAACCGCUGGGACAAUCUGGAGACUCCCUUGCUGUCAGC
rnacentral:lncRNA from 1 species